GAUUCAUACUUUCAAGUUCUUUAUCUAGCUGUUGCAAAGAGACACCUCCAUCAAGUAUCUUCUUUUUCCAUUAGCCCAGAAAUGAGCAUCCUCUUAGACCUAUAUGCUAUUGUAAAUGAGAUGUAUAUAUUCCUUCCUGAGCUUUUAAGAUAAACAGUGAGAACUUAACAGGCCUACUAAUCAAAGCUUACAGAAGGAAAAUACCUUGUAAUUCAGACUUAGAAACACCCUGCGUGGCAAAAAAAGGAAUGGACUAUCACACAGUAAGACUUGUAGAAAAUUAACCAAAGUACAUAUGAGUUAAUCAAACAGUAACUUAAAAAAUUUAAGUGCAAAGAAGGAAAAUUUCAACUGAAAAAAAAAUCAGAAACUGAAAUAUUCUGAAAAGCACACCUUUAAUUGGCACAUAUGUGAAAC